GAUGAACGCUGGCGGCGUGCCUAAUACAUGCAAGUCGAGCGAACGGACGAGAAGCUUGCGUCUCUGAUGUUAGCGGCGGACGGGUGAGUAACACGUGGAUAACCUACCUAUAAGACUGGGAUAAUUUCGGGAAACCGGAGCUAAUACCGGAUAAUACUUUGAACGGCAUGGUUCAAAAGUGAAAGACGGCCUUGCUGUCACUUAUAGAUGGAUCCGCGCUGCAUUAGCUAGUUGGUAAGGUAACGGCUUACCAAGGCAACGAUGCAUAGCCGACCUGAGAGGGUGAUCGGCCACACUGGAACUGAGACACGGUCCAGACUCCUACGGGAGGCAGCAGUAGGGAAUCUUCCGCAAUGGGCGAAAGCCUGACGGAGCAACGCCGCGUGAGUGAUGAAGGUCUUCGGAUCGUAAAACUCUGUUAUUAGGGAAGAACAUAUGUGUAAGUAACUGUGCACAUCUUGACGGUACCUAAUCAGAAAGCCACGGCUAACUACGUG
rnacentral:rRNA from 1 species